rnacentral:piRNA from 1 species
UGGCCAAGGAAAUUUAGGAGCGUGAUGG